rnacentral:rRNA from 1 species
AUAAGCGCCGGUAAGGUGAUAUGAACCGUUAUAACCGGCGAUUUCCGAAUGGGGAAACCCAGUGUGAUUCGUCACACUAUCAUUAACUGAAUCCAUAGGUUAAUGAGGCGAACCGGGGGAACUGAAACAUCUAAGUACCCCGAGGAAAAGAAAUCAACCGAGAUUCCCCCAGUAGCGGCGAGCGAACGGGGAGGAGCCCAGAGCCUGAAUCAGCAUGUGUGUUAGUGGAAGCGUCUGGAAAGGCGCGCGAUACAGGGUGACAGCCCCGUACACAAAAGCGCAUGUGCUGUGAGCUCGAUGAGUAGGGCGGGACACGUGGUAUCCUGUCUGAAUAUGGGGGGACCAUCCUCCAAGGCUAAAUACUCCUGACUGACCGAUAGUGAACCAGUACCGUGAGGGAAAGGCGAAAAGAACCCCGGCGAGGGGAGUGAAAAAGAACCUGAAACCGUGUACGUACAAGCAGUGGGAGCACAGGUUUACCUGUGUGACUGCGUACCUUUUGUAUAAUGGGUCAGCGACUUAUAUUCUGUAGCAAGGUUAACCGAAUAGGGGAGCCGGAGGGAAACCGAGUCUUAAUUGGGCGUUAAGUUGCAGGGUAUAGACCCGAAACCCGGUGAUCUAGCCAUGGGCAGGUUGAAGGUUGGGUAACACUAACUGGAGGACCGAACCGACUAAUGUUGAAAAAUUAGCGGAUGACCUGUGGCUGGGGGUGAAAGGCCAAUCAAACCGGGAGAUAGCUGGUUCUCCCCGAAAGCUAUUUAGGUAGCGCCUCGUGAAUUCAUCUCCGGGGGUAGAGCACUGUUUCGGCUAGGGGGCCAUCCCGGCUUACCAACCCGAUGCAAACUGCGAAUACCGGAGAAUGUUAUCACGGGAGACACACGGCGGGUGCUAACGUCCGUCGUGAAGAGGGAAACAACCCAGACCGCCAGCUAAGGUCCCAAAGUCAUGGUUAAGUGGGAAACGAUGUGGGAAGGCCCAGACAGCCAGGAUGUUGGCUUAGAAGCAGCCAUCAUUUAAAGAAAGCGUAAUAGCUCACUGGUCGAGUCGGCCUGCGCGGAAGAUGUAACGGGGCUAAACCAUGCACCGAAGCUGCGGCAGCGAACGUAUCACUUAAAGCGAUUCAGCGGGUUACGAUUGACGGAGCGAAGCGACGUCAAAGCGUAUACAAAGUCGAGUCGGUUUAAGGAUACGUUCGUUGGGUAGGGGAGCGUUCUGUAAGCCUGCGAAGGUGGCCUGUGAGGGUUGCUGGAGGUAUCAGAAGUGCGAAUGCUGACAUAAGUAACGAUAAAGCGGGUGAAAAGCCCGCUCGCCGGAAGACCAAGGGUUCCUGUCCAACGUUAAUCGGGGCAGGGUGAGUCGACCCCUAAGGCGAGGCCGAAAGGCGUAGUCGAUGGGAAACAGGUUAAUAU